UACAGAGGGUGCGAGCGUUGUCCGGAAUCACUGGGCGUAAAGCGUGCGCAGGCGGUUUGUUAAGACAGAUGUGAAAUCCCCGGGCUUAACCUGGGAACUGCAUUUGUGACUGGCAAGCUAGAGUAUGGCAGAGGGGGGUAGAAUUCCACGUGUAGCAGUGAAAUGCGUAGAGAUGUGGAGGAAUACCGAUGGCGAAGGGCAGCCCCCUGGGCCCAAAUACUGACGCUCAUGC
rnacentral:rRNA from 1 species